rnacentral:rRNA from 1 species
ACAAGCGGUGGAUGAUGUGGAUUAAUUCGAUGCAACGCGAAGAACCUUACCAGGCCUUGACAUGCAGAGAACUUUCCAGAGAUUGGAUUUGGUGCCUUUCGGGAACUCUGACACAGGUGCUGCAUGGCUGUCGUCAGCUCGUGUCGUGAGAUGUUGGGUUAAGUCCCGUAACGAGCGCAACCCUUAUCAUUAGUUGCUACGCAAGGGCACUCUAAUGAGACUGCCGGUGACAGACCGGAGGAAGGUGGGGAUGACGUCAAGUCCUCAUGGCCCUUAUGGGUAGGGCUUCACACGUCAUACAAUGGUCGGUACAGAGGGUUGCCAAGCCGCGAGGUGGAGCCAAUCCCAGAAAGCCGAUCGUAGUCCGGAUUGUUCUCUGCAACUCGAGAGCAUGAAGUCGGAAUCGCUAGUAAUCGCGGAUCAGCAUGUCGCGGUGAAUACGUUCCCGGGUCUU